ensembl:lncRNA
GUGGGGACCUAACUGGGACAUAGGAGGGAGUGUGUGAGGACUCAGUGGGGACCUAACUGGGACAUAGGAGGGAGUGUGUGAGGACUCAGUAGACUUGGUGGAAGUGUAAGGACUAAGUUGGGACUUAGUGAGGGCUUGGUGGGAGUGUUAGUGAGGUUAGCCCUCACCCAGUGGGGACUGUUUGCUGAGGUAGUGGGAGGGUUAGUGGGGACUGUAUGAUGAGGUAGUGUUAGUGGGGACUGUAUGAUGAGGUAGUGUUAGUGGGG